rnacentral:ncRNA from 1 species
AUAAGGAUUGGCUCUGAGGACUGAGCCGGUCGGGCUGGGGACCUGAAGCAGGAACGGCACUGCACCGGGACUGGGCGGGGCUCGCCGUUCACGCGGCGCGGCCAAGCCCGGACCAGCGUCGGGACCUUCCUGUGGAAAGCCUCAGCUGCGCGGCGUCUGAGGGCUUCGUGCCCAAAGUGCUAUGCUUCGGCCGGCAAAAAACAGUCAACUCAGAACUGGCACGGACCGGGGGAAUCCGACUGUCUAAUUAAAACAAAGCAUUGCGAUGGCCGCUGGUCGGUGUUGACGCAAUGUGAUUUCUGCCCAGUGCUCUGAAUGUCAACGUGAAGAGAUUCAUCAAAGCGCGGGUAAACGGCGGGAGUAACUAUGACUCUCUUGUCGGGAGUAACUAUGACUCUCUUGUGAGCGGGCUUAGCGCACGCGUUGGAUCACAGAGGGUAGCCC